UGGAAGUAAAAGUCGUAACAAGGUCUCCGUAGGUGAACCUGCGGAGGGAUCAUUACAAGUGACCCCGGUCUAACCACCGGGAUGUUCAUAACCCUUUGUUGUCCGACUCUGUUGCCUCCGGGGCGACCCUGCCUUCGGGCGGGGGCUCCGGGUGGACACUUCAAACUCUUGCGUAACUUUGCAGUCUGAGUAAACUUAAUUAAUAAAUUAAAACUUUUAACAACGGAUCUCUUGGUUCUGGCAUCGAUGAAGAACGCAGCGAAAUGCGAUAAGUAAUGUGAAUUGCAGAAUUCAGUGAAUCAUCGAAUCUUUGAACGCACAUUGCGCCCCCUGGUAUUCCGGGGGGCAUGCCUGUUCGAGCGUCAUUUCACCACUCAAGCCUCGCUUGGUAUUGGGCAACGCGGUCCGCCGCGUGCCUCAAAUCGACCGGCUGGGUCUUCUGUCCCCUAAGCGUUGUGGAAACUAUUCGCUAAAGGGUGUUCGGGAGGCUACGCCGUAAAACAACCCAAUUUCUAAGGUUGACCUCGGAUCAGGUAGGGAUACCCGCUGAACUUAAGCAUAUCAAUAAGCGGAGGAA
rnacentral:misc_RNA from 1 species